UUUCGGCCACAACCAGCAUACUCUUCGGAUUCUGUCCCAUUACCUCCUCGGCAAUGUAGUAGUCGCCCAGCUCCUCUCGCAUUUCUGGGUUCUCAACCUCUUGCAUUGCUAUAAUAUCGUCGUUAUCUUCGGCCCUUCAUGGGAAAUAUUUAAAACAAAAGAAGAAUGUUAUUGCUUAACAAUAUCUAAUAGUUAAAAAAUCUUAGUAGGCGAUAUCAAUUUCAGACAAACUGAUUAGUAGUCUGCUGCCUUUUAAGAGGCACUUGAAUAUCAAAAUUUCAAAUGCUAUUUUAGAUACUUCAUAGAAACAAGGAGCAUAACAGAACAGAGCUUACAGUGCUUUCCGCGGGUAAAAGACCUUGGAUAUUUUUUCCAAAUCAUCGAAGGUUUCCACAAAGUGGAUGGGUUGUGGCAUGUACGGACUCCUAACAGCGAUCAGAAACCACACCCUGCUUUCCCUGUAGAGCACAUCCUUUAUGAUCUCAACCAGAACCGUGGAGUGUUCGCUCUUAUAGAUGCAAAAGUUGAAGAACAACGCAUUCAGCCAGCUAAUGGACAUGGAUAAGCUAAAGAAUAUUUGUGAAAGAGAUGAUAUGUUUAACGUUUUAAGGCCUGCUAUCAGUACCAGUAUCUGGUGGACAACCAUUCCAACCAGCAAUCCGUGGGCAAAGCGGCGAUGGAGGGAUAGUUGCGGAACUCGGCAUAGGCCACCAAUGCGGAGGACUCAGUGCAAAGAGCCAAUAUCCUGUAGGUCUGAUAGGAAUGGAACAGGGAGUCCUUGCCACGAAAUUUCGGACGGAUAUUGCCGAACCACUUGACACCUGGCGAUCGAAUCAGCUUGUUGAGUCCAUCCUGGUCUCCCGCUUGAGCCAAGCGAAUCUGAAACUGAUUCAUCAGUGCGAAUAAUUUAUGUUUGGUGUGUGAUUAAAACAAAAAAACAUACUGCG